CAGGCGCGAAACCUUUACACUGCACGACAGUGCGAUAGGGGGAUUCCGAGUGCGAGGGCAUACAGUCCUCGCUUUUCUGGACCGUAAGGAGGUCCAAGAAUAAGGGCUGGGCAAGACCGGUGCCAGCCGCCGCGGUAAUACCGGCAGCCCGAGUGAUGGCCGAUAUUAUUGGGCCUAAAGCGUCCGUAGCUGGCCAGACAAGUCCGUUGGGAAAUCCACGCGCUCAACGCGUGGGCGUCCAGCGGAAACUGCCUGGCUUGGGGCCGGAGGACUCGAGGGGUACGUCCGGGGUAGGAGUGAAAUCCCGUAAUCCUGGACGGACCACCGGUGGCGAAAGCGCCUCGAGAGGACGGACCCGACAGUGAGGGACGAAAGCCAGGGUCUCGAACCGGAUUAGAUACCC
rnacentral:rRNA from 1 species